rnacentral:rRNA from 1 species
UACGAAGGGUGCAAGCGUUACUCGGAAUUACUGGGCGUAAAGCGUGCGUAGGUGGUGAGUUAAGUCUGAUGUGAAAUCCCCGGGCUCAACCUGGGAAUGGCAUUGGAUACUGGCUCGCUCGAGUGCGGUAGAGGGUGGUGGAAUUCCCGGGUGUAGCAGUGAAAUGCGUAGAGAUCGGGAGGAACAUCUGUGGCGAAGGUCGGCCACCUGGACCAGCACUGACACUGAGGCACGAAAGCGUGGGGAGCAAACAGGAAUUAGAUGAC